AAGUAUUGGAGUUUCAGCUUCAGCAUCAGUCUUUCCAAUGAAUAGUCAGGGUUGAUUUUUCUUUAGGAUUGACUGGUAUGGUUUCCACUGAUCUCCCACAGACUCUCAAGAGUAUUCUCCAGCAUCACAAUUAGAAAGCAUCAAUUUUUGGCACUUAGCCUUCUUUAUGAUCCAACUCCCACAUCCUUACACGACUCCUGGAAAAACCAUAGCUUUGAGUAGAUGGACCUUUGUCGACGAAGUGAUGUGUCUGCUUUUGAAUAUGCUGUUUAGGCUUGUCAUGGUUUUUCUUCCAUGGAGCAAGCGUCUUUUAAUUUUCGGGCUGCAGUCACUGUCCACCCAAGAAAAUAAAAUCUGACACUGUUUUCCACUUUUUCCCCAUCUAUUUGCCAAGAAGAGAUGAGACUAUGCCAGUGCUUCUUGAUCCCAAUCAGGUGAGGCUGUGGAAGUCCUUGUUGGUCCUGUUGUGUGAUGAGUGGUGACCACUUUGCACGACAGGAGACACCCACAUGGAAACUAUGUUGUGCAGCUCCUCAGAUGCCCACCACUCCUCCAGUUCUCUGCAACUGGGAUGAGGGAGGGGAGUCACAUGAUGCAGAGAAGUGCAGGGGACUUGGCUGGAGAUGCCCUGGGGGAGGGACAGGGCUGUGGCAAGGGAGCACUGAGGCAGUCUCAGGAACUGGGGGAGCUCCAUACGGAAGCAGGAUGGUGUGGGAUGUGGAUCGGAAGUACAUUUACCUUAGAAGAAGGAGACAGGCGAUAAGCACUGCACUGUUCUUUCAUCCAUCACUCACAAAACAUUUCAUAACAAAAAAUGAGGAAUGGACUUUGUGUUGACACAACAGGACAUAGUAUCAGUUCUUAUAAAAAUUUUGUAUGACUUCCAAUCCAUCUUAUUUUGCGGUUACCAGCUCAUGUGGCAAGAAUGAAUAUUUUUUUCAUGGCCUCUUUCCCAUUAACAUGGUCACAUUUUAUCAAAUAAUAAAGAGCAUGCACGUAAAGAUGAUAACAUAAGCUCCAUUUUUCUUCCUCUUCAUUGGGUGCAACAUAUGCAUUUUCUGUGGAAAUAAAAUGGGCAUGUNNNNNNAAGUCACCUGGCCAUCUUAGGCUGUGUUUUCCCUGUACCUCCUUGGAAAUGCCUUUCCAAAUCAAAACUAGUUUUUGAUGCAGUAAUGAUGGCAUCAGAAAUCAAACUGGCAUUAGAAUUUUACCCAAGUAACUGAUAACAAAAAUGUAUUGUUCUGGCUUCCCCAUCAUAUCUUCAUGCUUUCUUUAGCUUGUGCUUGAUUCACUUAGAAGCACAGUUUGGAUAGAAAAGAACCAGGCACUGAGGGACAGCGGUGGCAGGCAUAGCAAGUGCUGGUGUAGCUUCUGUCAGCCGUGGGGGCAGGCGAUCUGGCAGAACGAGGGUUAAGGAGGCUCCCUGUCUCAGCCAGUAUUGGUGCCAAGAGGUAACUUAUUCAUGGUCCCAGGGAGCAGCAUGGCACACAUCUUCAAGGAGCUCUGCUUUCAGAACUCCAGCUUUCAGAAAAAUUGCAAAAGGCACGCUGUUCUUUGAGACGCCCUUCAGUCCUUCCAGUCCCCGGUACUGCCUGCACCCCCAUCUAGUCGUCUCUGUCUCAGUUCAUAACGGCAUCAUGACAGCAGCUGAGCGGGCAUGGAGGUCCUUGAAGGACACACAGCCCAGCGUGUGCUCAAAGAGCUCCUGGAAAAUGAGCCACGUGGUUCUCCUACUGAUGAAAGCUCCUUUCUCGUCACAGCCCCUCUGUCCCUGCUGUACUCUGUACACCUUGCCAGCCGGUUUCCUCUUGCAUCAGGCCUAAAGUCUCCAUCCACCCACGUGCCCACCCUGUUUCCCUGGCGACUGUGCAGCCACACAGCCAAGGAGAGAUGUCGCCCUCACCCCAUCCCGGGCAGCCUUUUGUGUAUUCCAUUCCCCUCCCUUCAAAGGCUGCUUUUCCCUGCUAAAUCUUCCUGAGAGUUUCCAGAAGAAAAGGCUUCCCAGGUCUUCAUGUGCACCUCAAUUUGGCUGCUUUUUGCCUCUUCUUUUAUUUUUUUACACUGAAACUAUGCCUCCAACAUGUUUAUUGUGCUUUAUCAGCUUUUAGUAACUCUGAAAAAGGUUUCCCAAUUUGAUGUUCAAUCUCUAAGUCAUGUCUGACUCUUUGCGACCCCAUGGACUGCAGCACUCCAGGCUUC
ensembl:lncRNA